rnacentral:rRNA from 1 species
UACGUAGGGCGCAAGCGUUGUCCGGAAUUAUUGGGCGUAAAGAGCUCGUAGGCGGUUUGUCGCGUCUGUCGUGAAAGCUUGGGGCUUAACCCCAAGUCUGCGGUGGAUACGGGCAGACUAGAGGCAGGUAGGGGAGAACGGAAUUCCCGGUGUAGCGGUGAAAUGCGCAGAUAUCAGGAGGAACACCGAUGGCGAAGGCAGUUCUCUGGGCCGUAACUGACGCUGAGGAGCGAAAGCGUGGGGAGCGAACAGG